rnacentral:rRNA from 1 species
GAUGAACGCUGGCGGUAUGCCUAACACAUGCAAGUCGUACGAGAGUUUUUUAACNCUAGUGGCGACGGGUGAGUAACACGUGAGAAUUUGCCUUUAGGAGGGGGAUAACAAUUGGAAACGAAUGCUAAUACCCCAUAUGCUUUUGAGUGAAAUGGAUUUUAUCCGCCUAGAGAGAAGCUCGCGGCUGAUUAGCUUGUUGGUAAGGUAAGAGCUUACCAAGGCGACGAUCAGUAUCUGGUUUUGAGAGGACGAUCAGACACACUGGAACUGAGCAAACGGUCCAGACUCCUACGGGAGGCAGCAGUGGGGAAUUUUCCGCAAUGGGCGAAAGCCUGACGGAGCAAUACCGCGUGAGGGAAGAAUGCCUAUGGGUUGUAAACCUCUUUUUUCAGGGAGGAAUAAAAUGACGUGUACCUGAAGAAUAAGCAUCGGCUAACUCCGUG